GUGAUCAUUUCUGCAGCACAUAUACAAAAAUUAGAAUGAUACAGAGAAGAUUUGCAUGGCCCUUGCACAAAGAUGACAUGCAACUUUAUGAAGUGUUUCAUAUAUUU
ensembl:snRNA LOC120099396 U6 spliceosomal RNA